CAGCCCUCCUAAACCGUUUCGACUGUAUAUUUUCAUUUGCUGAAAUUUCAGUGCAUCACUCUUUGAUUUAAUAACACUUUGUCUGUAGGUGUCAGAAAACCCUCCCAACCAUAUCCUGUUUCUCACCAAUCUCCCAGAGGAGACGAACGAGCUCAUGCUGUCUAUGCUGUUCAACCAGUUUCCUGGAUUCAAAGAAGUCCGUCUUGUCCCGGGUCGUCACGACAUCGCCUUUGUGGAGUUUGAUAAUGAGGUGCAGGCGGGUGCAGCCAGAGAAGCUUUGCAAGGCUUUAAGAU